UGCGCAGGCGGCUCUCUAAGACAGGUGUGAAAUCCCCGGGCUUAACCUGGGAAUUGCGCUUGUGACUGGGGGGCUCGAGUGCGGCAGAGGGGGAUGGAAUUCCUGGUGUAGCAGUGAAAUGCGUAGAUAUCAGGAGGAACACCGAUGGCGAAGGCAGUCCCCUGGGUCGGCACUGACGCUCAUGCACGAAAGCGUGGGGAGCAAACA
rnacentral:rRNA from 1 species